UACGAAGGGGGCUAGCGUUGCUCGGAAUCACUGGGCGUAAAGGGUGCGUAGGCGGGUCUUAAGUCAGGGGUGAAAUCCUGGAGCUCAACUCCAGAACUGCCUUUGAUACUGAAGAUCUUGAGUUCGGGAGAGGUGAGUGGAACUGCGAGUGUAGAGGUGAAAUUCGUAGAUAUUCGCAAGAACACCAGUGGCGAAGGCGGCUCACUGGCCCGUAACUGACGCUGAGGCACGAAAGCGUGGGGAGCAAACAGGG
rnacentral:rRNA from 1 species